GGAGAGGUAAGUUAAGUUGUUAAACUGUGUGGUUCAUGCUCACAUAAUACGUUUUAUCGUUUUCUCCU
rnacentral:tRNA from 1 species